UUUUUCUUAGUAUAAAUAGUAUAUUUAACUUCCAAUUAAAAGGUUUAAUUUUAAGAAAAAA
rnacentral:tRNA from 1 species